rnacentral:rRNA from 1 species
GAUGAACGCUGGCGGCGUGCCUAAUACAUGCAAGUCGAGCGAACAGACGAGGAGCUUGCUCCUCUGACGUUAGCGGCGGACGGGUGAGUAACACGUGGAUAACCUACCUAUAAGACUGGGAUAACUUCGGGAAACCGCAGCUAAUACCGGAUAAUAUAUUGAACCGCAUGGUUCAAUAGUGAAAGACGGUUUUGCUGUCACUUAUAGUUGGAUCCGCGCCGCAUUAGCUAGUUGGUAAGGUAACGGCUUACCAAGGCAACGAUGCGUAGCCGACCUGAGAGGGUGAUCGGCCACACUGGAACUGAGACACGGUCCAGACUCCUACGGGAGGCAGCAGUAGGGAAUCUUCCGCAAUGGGCGAAAGCCUGACGGAGCAACGCCGCGUGAGUGAUGAAGGUCUUCGGAUCGUAAAACUCUGUUAUUAGGGAAGAACAAAUGUGUAAGUAACUAUGCACGUCUUGACGGUACCUAAUCAGAAAGCCACGGCUAACUACGUG